rnacentral:RNase_MRP_RNA from 1 species
GGAAAGUCUCCGGGCGCAUCAGAUCCCAGAAAGGGCGUUGGGCGGCUUGCAUGAAGUCGGCAAUC